rnacentral:piRNA from 1 species
UGCCCCUGCCCUGUGGAGUUUAGAGCCC